UAACCUGCGGAGGGAUCAUUACACAAUAAAAUAUGAAGGCUGUACGCGGCUGUGCUCUCGGGCCAGUUUUGCGGAGGCUGAAUUAUUUAUUACCCUUGUCUUUUGCGCACUUGUUGUUUCCUGGGCGGGUUCGCCCGCCACCAGGACCACAUCAUAAACCUUUUUUAUGCAGUUGCAAUCAGCGUCAGUAUAACAAAUGUAAAUCAUUUACAACUUUCAACAACGGAUCUCUUGGUUCUGGCAUCGAUGAAGAACGCAGCGAAAUGCGAUACGUAGUGUGAAUUGCAGAAUUCAGUGAAUCAUCGAAUCUUUGAACGCACAUUGCGCCCUUUGGUAUUCCAAAGGGCAUGCCUGUUCGAGCGUCAUUUGUACCCUCAAGCUUUGCUUGGUGUUGGGCGUUUUUUGUCUUUGGUUGCCAAAGACUCGCCUUAAAAGGAUUGGCAGCCGGCCUACUGGUUUCGCAGCGCAGCACAUUUUUGCGCUUGCAAUCAGCAAAAGAGGACGGCAAUCCAUCAAGACUCCUUCUCACGUUNGACCUCGGAUCAGGUAGGGAUACCCGCUGAACUUAAGCAUAUCAAUA
rnacentral:rRNA from 1 species